UUGGACAAUGGGCGCAAGCCUGAUCCAGCCAUGCCGCGUGAGUGAUGAAGGCCCUAGGGUUGUAAAGCUCUUUCAGCGGGGAAGAUAAUGACGGUACCCGCAGAAGAAGCCCCGGCUAACUUCGUGCCAGCAGCCGCGGUAAUACGAAGGGGGCUAGCGUUGCUCGGAAUCACUGGGCGUAAAGCGCACGUAGGCGGCUUUCUAAGUCAGGGGUGAAAUCCCGGAGCUCAACUCCGGAACUGCCUUUGAUACUGGAAAGCUUGAGUCCGGGAGAGGUGAGUGGAACUGCGAGUGUAGAGGUGAAAUUCGUAGAUAUCCGCAACAACACCAGUGGCGAAGGCGGCUCACUGGCCCGGGACGGACGCUGAGGUGCGAAAGCGUGGGGAGC
rnacentral:rRNA from 1 species